rnacentral:ncRNA from 1 species
AGAUUGGCAAACCUAGCGAAAGCUGGGGACGCAAAGCUUAAGUGUCUACGAUAAAGAAAUAAAAGAUGCUUUAUUAUGAUUGACUGGCUGC